rnacentral:misc_RNA from 1 species
GAUGAAGAACGUAGCGAAAUGCGAUAAGUAAUGUGAAUUGCAGAAUUCAGUGAAUCAUCGAAUCUUUGAACGCACAUUGCGCCCGCCAGUAUUCUGGCGGGCAUGCCUGUUCGAGCGUCAUUUCAACCAUCAAGCCCCAGGCUUGUGUUGAGGACCUGCGGCUGCCGCAGGCCCUGAAAACCAGUGGCGGGCUCGCUGUCACACCGGGCGUAGUAGAUUUUAUCUCGCUCAGGGCGUGCUGCGGGUUCCGGCCGUUAAAAAGCCUUUUUUACCCAAGGUUGACCUCGGAUCAGGUAGGAAUACCCGCUGAACUUAAGCAUAUCAAUAAGCGGAGGA